rnacentral:rRNA from 1 species
UUGGAGGGCAAGUCUGGUGCCAGCAGCCGCGGUAAUCCCAGCUCCAAUAGCGUAUAUUAAAGUUGUUGCAGUUAAAAAGCUCGUAGUUGAAUUUCGGGGUUAGUAGGUUGGUCAUGCCACUGGUAUGUACUGGUCUCACUGAUUCCUCCUUCCUGAUGAACUGUAAUGCCAUUAAUUUGGUGUUGCAGGGAAUCUGGACUGUUACUUUGAAAAAAUUAGAGUGUUUAAAGCAGGCUAACGCCUGAAUACAUUAGCAUGGAAUAAUGAAAUAGGACGUUCGAUCCUAUUUUGUUGGUUUCUAGGAUUGACGUAAUGAUUAAUAGGGAUAGUUGGGGGCAUUAGUAUUCAAUUGUCAGAGGUGAAAUUCUUGGAUUUAUUGAAGACUAACUACUGCGAAAGCAUUUGCCAAGGAUGUUUUCAUUAAUCAAGAACGAAAGUUAGGGGAUCGAAGACGAUCAGAUACCGUCGUAGUCUUAACCAUAAACUAUGCCGACUAGGGAUCGGAUGAUGUUAAUUUUUUAAUGACUCAUUCGGCGCCUUACGGGAAAC